CAGAGGAUGUGCUGAGCAAGGAUGCAGGGGAGUGUUCCAUCUGCCUGGAGGAUCUGGUCCAGGGGGACACCAUUGCACGCCUGCCCUGCCUCUGCAUCUACCACAAAGGGUGUAUUGAUGAGUGGUUUGAGGUGAACAGGUCUUGUCCAGAACACCCAUCAGAUUAAAGGAAGGCUAAGUUUGCACAGGUCCCUCCCCCCUCGAGACUCUGCUCCAAUGACAACACACCACAAUGUGAAUCCCCUCCUCCUCCCUGUUGCCAAGGAGACUGCUGGACACUGUGACUUUGUGGCUGACACACCCACUUUAUAGACUCCGCCUCCUCCGGCCGACCCCCCUCCCCUUCUCCGGUACCUCAGCCCCCCCCCAUCUCUACUACCACGCCCCAUGACCUCUGACCUCCUAUAUAUAAGUACUACAAGGUGCCAAAACUCAUUAAAGCAAUCUUCAGGGAUACACCAUUCUAUGCUGACCUGUUUCCUAGUAUACACACACACACAAAAACACUCCCAUACACACACACUCCCAUACACACACACACACACAAGCCCUUCCCACUCGUACAUCAUAGAUGUGGGGAGAGGGAUCUUCUGUUGCACAAAAAUCCAAUCAGGAAAAUGCUGUUGGUCUAAUCUCUCUCUCACACACACAGGCACACACACACACACACACAUAGACUGAGCCUGGCACCGCUGACCGUCACUUCCUGGAAAACCCACCCUCAGUGAUCUCUCCUGUGAUUGGCUGAGCCUCUGUGAUGCACAUGUGCACUGGGGCUCCUUCCACCCCAUCGGAGCUGAUUGUACACCAGGGGGCAGAGGGGAGGAGCCAGGAUAGUGGCUCCUCCUCCUCCUCACGACUGUGUCUACCAGUGCCUUCACUUCCUCAUCCCACGGGACUAGCAGGGCGGGACUAUGGAACUGAGCCGUGUGAUUGGUUCAGCCUCUCUGUCUCACUGAGCGUCUCUCAGGCGACGGAUAGACCCAGCUGAAUGUGAACGACACACUCACACACACACACACGCCGAGACAUACACACACAGACACACACACACCCAUACACUCACACACACACAUACUCACACCCUCUCACACGCACAAACCUCAAACCCCCUUGUUUUCAGCCUCACUGAGAUUAGAAGUGCUCCGCUGUGUGCAAACCCACCCCCGGGUGGCGCCACCCCCCAGGUGCCGGCCGUGGAGCGCGGUCCGAGAACAGAGAGACCCCGACCCCAGGCAGUUUCUCUACCUGGCUCCUCCUCACUGCAGAGAGAAGGAUCCUCUUAAACUGUAGCAAAGAGAAGGAUCCUCUUAGACUGUAGCAAUACCUGUCUGGGGCAUGUGGCCCUGUGCUGAGCCCAGAUGCCCACCCCAAGGACUCUAUCCUGGGCCAGCGGUUCCCCCCCGACCCCCCUGACGACCUCCAGCUCCGUGGUUCCUGACGGGUCGAGAUGUGUUCUAGCUUUUCACAUGGUUCUUUUCACAUGGUUUUUUUUGUUCUUUAGAUUGGCCUGUGAGUGGGGCGCAAGAAUAGAGAGAGACCAGAAGUCAGGCCUUAAUGCUCAGUGAGCGAUGAGAGGGAUUGUCUCUUUUCGCUCAUCAUGUUUGUCCAAGUUUGUCCAUCUUUCUUUUCUAAUACAGUAGUUGCCUGCCUGAUAUAGCACACUGGCUUCCACCAAUCAGAAGAUUUAGCCCGUAACUCUUCAGCCUAUCACAGUGGAGGCGUCAGGAGACCCUUCCACCUAAUUGGUGGGGAGCCAGCAGUAGAACGAGAUGCUAAUGAGGCAUUUGAAUGUCGGGCCCCUCUAUGACCACUUAAAGGGAUAGUCCACUGUCAAAUUCAAAAUAAAAGUUACUGAGGCUGUUGUUUA